AUUGAACGCUGGCGGCAGGCCUAACACAUGCAAGUCGAGCGAGAGGCGGACGGGUGAGUAAUGUAUGGGGACUGCCCGAUAGAGGGGGAUCACUACUGGAAACGGUGGCUAAUACCGCAUACUAUCGGAUAACCCAUAUGGGAUUAGCUAGUAGGUGGGGUAAAGGCUCACCUAGGCGACGAUCUCUAGCUGGUCUGAGAGGAUGAUCGGCCACACUGGGACUGGGACACGGCCCAGACUCCUACGGAGGCAGCAGUGGGGAAUAUUGCACAAUGGGCGCAAGCCUGAUGCAGCAAUGCCGCGUGUAUGAAGAAGGCCUUAGGGUUGUAAAGUACUUUCAGCGAGGAGGCGUUACUCGCAGAAGAAGCACCGGCUAACUCCGUGCCAGCCGCCGCGGUAAUAC
rnacentral:rRNA from 1 species